rnacentral:rRNA from 1 species
GAUGAACGCUGGCGGCGUGCCUAAUACAUGCAAGUCGAGCGAACAGACGAGGAGCUUGCUCCUUUGACGUUAGCGGCGGACGGGUGAGUAACACGUGGGUAACCUACCUAUAAGACUGGGAUAACUUCGGAAAACCGGAGCUAAUACCGGGUAAUAUUUCGAACCGCAUGGUUCGAUAGUGAAAGAUGGCUUUGCUAUCACUUAUAGAUGGACCUGCGCCGUAUUAGCUAGUUGGUAAGGUAACGGCUUACCAAGGCAACGAUACGUAGCCGACCUGAGAGGGUGAUCGGCCACACUGGAACUGAGACACGGUCCAGACUCCUACGGGAGGCAGCAGUAGGGAAUCUUCCGCAAUGGGCGAAAGCCUGACGGAGCAACGCCGCGUGAGUGAUGAAGGUCUUCGGAUCGUAAAACUCUGUUAUUAGGGAAGAACAAACGUGUAAGUAACUGUGCACGUCUUGACGGUACCUAAUCAGAAAGCCACGGCUAACUACGUGCCAGCAGCCGCGGUAAUACGUAGGUGGCAAGCGUUAUCCGGAAUUAUUGGGCGUAAAGCGCGCGUAGGCGGUUUUUUAAGUCUGAUGUGAAAGCCCACGGCUCAACCGUGGAGGGUCAUUGGAAACUGGAAAACUUGAGUGCAGAAGAGGAAAGUGGAAUUCCAUGUGUAGCGGUGAAAUGCGCAGAGAUAUGGAGGAACACCAGUGGCGAAGGCGACUUUCUGGUCUGUAACUGACGCUGAUGUGCGAAAGCGUGGGGAUCAAACAGGAUUAGAUACCCUGGUAGUCCACGCCGUAAACGAUGAGUGCUAAGUGUUAGGGGGUUUCCGCCCCUUAGUGCUGCAGCUAACGCAUUAAGCACUCCGCCUGGGGAGUACGACCGCAAGGUUGAAACUCAAAGGAAUUGACAGGGACCCGCACAAGCGGUGGAGCAUGUGGUUUAAUUCGAAGCAACGCGAAGAACCUUACCAAAUCUUGACAUCCUUUGACCCUUCUAGAGAUAGAAGUUUCCCCUUCGGGGGACAAAGUGACAGGUGGUGCAUGGUUGUCGUCAGCUCGUGUCGUGAGAUGUUGGGUUAAGUCCCGCAACGAGCGCAACCCUUAAGCUUAGUUGCCAUCAUUAAGUUGGGCACUCUAAGUUGACUGCCGGUGACAAACCGGAGGAAGGUGGGGAUGACGUCAAAUCAUCAUGCCCCUUAUGAUUUGGGCUACACACGUGCUACAAUGGACAAUACAAAGGGCAGCGAAACCGCGAGGUCAAGCAAAUCCCAUAAAGUUGUUCUCAGUUCGGAUUGUAGUCUGCAACUCGACUACAUGAAGCUGGAAUCGCUAGUAAUCGUAGAUCGGCAUGCUACGGUGAAUACGUUCCCGGGUCU